AAACGUUUUUCCAGUAACCUUAAUAGAGCAUUCCUUCAAACUUAUUUGAUCUUUAAUAAAGCUUGUCUAACAUCUUUUAAAUGUUACUACUUGUUACAGAACGUUCAGAGGAAAAAAAAGUAACGUUCCAAUUCCAUACAAUAGAAUGUUCCCUUAACGUUCACAUGACAUUCUUAGAACAUACAGUAUUUUUUGUUAGAUAGGUAAAGAUUCCCAUCCCUACUGUAACUUGAUUAAAAGUCUAAAAGCACCUGGGGAGACAUGCCACUCAGUUUAUUAAGGACAGAAAUUGUACAGACAGUCAGAAUGAGGCAAACCAGUAAAGGUCAAGGGUGUGUGCGAGAGAAAAGUGGUCACUGGAUAACUGUUAAGGUUGGAAAGGUCAUCCAUGGCCAUUUUUGCUGUAAAUUGCUUUCUCUACUGAUAAUUAGACAUGCAGAGUCCCCACAUAACUGUCCACUGAGGACACAGUAUUGGAGUACUGCCAUUUUUGCAAUGCUGAUUAUUUGUAUUACAAAGUGAUAAUGUUUAUGUCCCACAAUGUGGUGGUGAUUUAAAGCCAUUAAAGAGAGCUGAUUUCAGUUUUUCUGAACAAAAGUGAAGACACAGCACACGCAGUCAAUUUUUGUCAUUAUAGCUUUAAUGAUACUUGUUCCCACAAACUGUUAGAUCAAUACAAAAGAAGAGACUUCCUGACAUAUUACAGUAUAUACAACCCAUAAUGUGAAAUUGCUUCCCUGCAAGGAUUCACUUCAAGCCUCCGUGUUUUAUGGACUGAGCAUUUUCCUGAAGCUUCAUGUCAGGCAAAGGCAAGAAAAUGGAUGAAUAAGGGCAUCAUGUGUAAGAAUGACAAUGAAAUAUAACAUAAUAGUGGUGCAACAUAUAACAAAGACAAUGGCAGCUGGGAACAGUGGCAGGUCUUCCCAGACGCUACGGUAAAUAGAGAGCAAUAAAUGUAACAGGUUAUAAAAAUAAACAGUUAUGAAUAUAAUGCUAAAAUGAAAUAUUGCAGUGCACACUGAGUACAGUUCAAAAUGAUAAAUGCACAAGCUGCUAAGCUGCUGGUUAAGGCAGGACAUAUUGCCUUAAUAUUUGGC
ensembl:lncRNA